rnacentral:rRNA from 1 species
UGGGGGAUAUUGCACAAUGGAGGAAACUCUGAUGCAGCAACGCCGCGUGAGGGAAGAAGGUUUUCGGAUUGUAAACCUCUGUUUUUAGUGAAGAAAGAAAUGACGGUAGCUAAAGAGGAAGCCACGGCUAACUACGUGCCAGCAGCCGCGGUAAUACGUAGGUGGCAAGCGUUGUCCGGAUUUACUGGGUGUAAAGGGUGCGCAGGCGGGACUGCAAGUUGGAUGUGAAAUACCGAGGCUUAACCACGGAGCUGCAUCCAAAACUGUGGUUCUUGAGUGGAGUAGAGGUAAGCGGAAUUCCGAGUGUAGCGGUGAAAUGCGUAGAUAU